AUGGGGGGACGCAGUAGGAUAGGCGAAGCGUGCGAUUGGAUUGCACGUCUAAGCAGUAAGGCUGAGUAUUAGGCAAAUCCGGUACUCGUUAAGGCUGAGCUGUGAUGGGGAGAAGACAUUGAGUCUUCGAGUCGUUGAUUUCACACUGCCGAGAAAAGCCUCUAGAUAGAAAAUAGGUGCCCGUACCGCAAACCGACACAGGUAGUCAAGAUGAGAAUUCUAAGGUGAGCGAGCGAACUCUCGUUAAGGAACUCGGCAAACUCUCG
rnacentral:rRNA from 1 species